rnacentral:lncRNA from 1 species
CUGGUCUCGAACUCCCGUGCUCAAGCGAUCCGCCAUCCUGGGCCUCCCAAAGUGCUGGGGUUACAGGCAUGAGGCCCGGCGCCGGCCCAGUCUUUCCCUCUCCCACUGCUUCCCAUGGCUUCGCCUGUCUAACCGGGCGCGGGCAGUUGUCCUGUGUCCUGGCUCAGCGCGGACCUACGCGGGGUGAUCACACAGAUGCCCCCAGCUCUCUCUACCUCCCGCGAAGGCGCUGAGCCCCCUGAUCCCUGCCCGGGCACUGGCGCAAGGUCGCCUGCGAGCGCCAGGCCUUCCUGCCCGGUGGGAGACGGGAGGGCCCGCUCUCCGGCUCGGUCUGGUUCCCGGGUCAGCCAGCAGCCGCGCCUCUUCCUCCCGGACCCGGGACCCGCCCCUUGUCCGGGGCCACGGCCGCAGCGCCCGGAGGGGCCGCCCUGCGCAUGCCCGCGGGAGGCUCUCCUUCUGCCUCCGCAUGCCCAACGAUCCGGAGAAAAACACGGACCAUGACAUCAAAAGGCCUUGGCAAAGGAAUCGUGAUUAUUGUGAUACAAGAUUCUGCACCUCAAAGGGGAUCCCUGUAAGUCUUGCUCUGUUGCUCAGGCUGGACUG